AGUGAUGCAUUAACUCCUAUAAUUUGGAGGGAUCAAUCCCAUCUUGAUUCACAUACAGACUUCGCAAGUACUUGACUGUACCCAAUAGCCUUUCGUUACUAUAUUAGAAAUACAGGUAGUCUGACAUCAAAGCACAGUGAGUUACUUACAAAUCACUAUAGUGAUUUAAUAUCUGAAGGACACUUAUGUCCAUAUAUUUUGCGAGCUACUC
rnacentral:lncRNA from 1 species